GAAAUGCGAUAAGUAAUGUGAAUUGCAGAAUUCCGUGAAUCAUCGAAUCUUUGAACGCCCAUUGCGCCCUCUGGCAUUCCGGGGGGCAUGCCUGUCCGAGCGUCAUUACGCACCCUCAAGCCCGGCUUGUGUGAUGGGCCCUGGCGUCUCGUUCGCGAGACGGGCCCGAAAGGCAGCGGCGGCGUCGACCCGAUGAGCCCGAGCGUAUGGGGACUUUUGUCACACGUUUGCGGUGCGGACCGGCGCCUGCUUGACUUUUCUGAUUAUCCAGGUUGACCUCGGAUCAGGUAGGGAUACGCGCUGAACUUAAGC
rnacentral:misc_RNA from 1 species